GACGAACGCUGGCGGCGUGCUUAACACAUGCAAGUCGAACGGAAAGGCCCUGCUUUUGUGGGGUGCUCGAGUGGCGAACGGGUGAGUAACACGUGAGUAACCUGCCCUUGACUUUGGGAUAAAUUCAGGAAACUGGGGCUAAUACAGGAUAGGAGCUACUGCUGCAUGGGGGGGGUUCGAAAGUUUCGGCGGUUGGGGAUGGACUGGAGGGUUAUCAGCUUGUUGGGGAGGUAGUGGCUUACCAAGGCUUUGACGGGUAGCCGGCCUGAGAGGGUGACCGGCGACAUGGGGACUAAGAUACGCCCCAGUCGCCAACGGGAGGCAGCAGUGGGGAAUAUUGCACAAUGGGCGGAAGCCUGAUGCGACAACGCCGCGUGCGGGAUGACGGGUUUCGGGUUAUAAACCGCUUUCUCCUUUGCCGAAGCGUGAGUGACGGUAAUGGGUAAAGAAGCACCGGCUAACUACGUG
rnacentral:rRNA from 1 species